UGAGUCGGUCGGGUGACCGCGGCCGGGCAUGGCCUUCGGGCCGGGACCCGGUCGAGGAAGGUCGGGGCUCCACAGGGCAGGAUGCUGAGGCGACUCAGGCGGGGGUGACCUCGCGGACAGGGCAGCAGAGAACAGACCGCCGAUGGCCCGGCUCGCCGGGCACAGGCAAGGUGAAACGGUGCGGUAAGAGCGCACCAGUGCGGCGGGCGACCGUCGCAGCUGGCAACCCCCAUCCGGUGCAAGGCCAAGCAGUAGGUGAUGGGGCUGCCCGUCCCCCGAAACUUCGGUUUCGGCACCUACGGGUCGGCCGCUCAGAUGGAUGAUCACCCAGGGAGACGUCGGCGACGACCUCCCGGACAGAACUCCGCCUAUAGACCGACUCACCAG
rnacentral:RNase_P_RNA from 1 species